rnacentral:rRNA from 1 species
UACAGAGGGUGCGAGCGUUGUCCGGAAUCACUGGGCGUAAAGGGCGCGUAGGUGGUGGCUUAAGCGUGCGGUGAAAGCUCGGGGCUCAACUCCGAGUCGGCCGUGCGAACUGGGCUCACUGGAGCAUAGUAGAGGCAGGUGGAGUUCCGGGUGUAGCGGUGGAAUGCGUAGAGAUCCGGAAGAACACCGGUGGCGAAGGCGGCCUGCUGGGCUAUGGCUGACACUGAGGCGCGACAGCGUGGGGAGCAAACAGG